rnacentral:rRNA from 1 species
UACAGAGGGUGCAAGCGUUGUUCGGAAUUAUUGGGCGUAAAGCGCGUGUAGGCGGCUUUGCAAGUCAGGUGUGAAAUCCCUCGGCUCAACCGAGGAAGUGCGCCUGAAACUGCAGAGCUUGAGUACCGGAGGGGAUGGUGGAAUUCCCCAAGUAGAGGUGAAAUUCGUAGAUAUGCCGCAGAACACCGAUUGCGAAGGCAGCCAGCUGGGCCUUUAUUGACGCUGAGGCACGAAAGCGUGGGGAGCAAACAGG